UCAUAUCAAGAGGAGACAGACUUUCUGCGAUCAGGGCUCUAUAAAUGGGCAGGUGAUGCGUAUUCCUUUGAUAAGGAUGGACCUUACAUAGAGAUUGUCACCUCACCAAACAAUCCUGAUGGUGCUAUCCGAGAAGCUGUGGUGAACAGAGAGGAAGGCAAGCUUAUCCAUGAUCUUGCCGAUUACUGGCCACAAUACACAUCCAUUACUCGCCCAGCAGAUUAUGAUAUCAUGCUGUUCACAUUUUCCAAAAGCACCGGACAUGCUGGUUCCCGAAUUGGGUGAGCAACACCUGCCCUGCUAUUUUUAGUUGACAGAAAAUUCAUACAUUUAAAGGCGCGAAAACAAUAAGAAAUUUUCAAUGAUUAUAUGAUGCUAGCAAGUUUUUUACUCUGGAAAAUAUGCCAUAUAUUUGAAGUUUAUCAUGUUUCCUUCAACUGAUUUUUUUUGUCUUUGCUUGAUUAAA
rnacentral:misc_RNA from 1 species